UACGAAGGGGGCUAGCGUUGUUCGGAAUUACUGGGCGUAAAGCGCACGUAGGCGGAUCGAUCAGUCAGGGGUGAAAUCCCAGGGCUCAACCCUGGAACUGCCUUUGAUACUGUCGAUCUGGAGUAUGGAAGAGGUGAGUGGAAUUCCGAGUGUAGAGGUGAAAUUCGUAGAUAUUAGGAAGAACACCAGUGGCGAAGGCGGCUCACUGGCCCGGUACUGACGCUGAGGCGCGAAAGCGUGGGGAGCAAACAGG
rnacentral:rRNA from 1 species